UCGCUGGCAGUCCAGUGGUUAGGACUCCACACUUCCACUGCUGAGGGCCUGGGUUCAAUCCCUGGCUGGGGAA
rnacentral:tRNA from 1 species